GAUGAACGCUGGCGGUAUGCUUAACACAUGCAAGUCGAACGGACUCUUCGGAGUUAGUGGCGGACGGGUGAGUAACGCGUGAGAAUCUGGCUUUGGGUUCGGGACAACCACUGGAAACGGUGGCUAAUACCGGAUGUGCCGAGAGGUAAAAGAGAAAUUGCCUGAAGAUGAGCUCGCGUCUGAUUAGCUAGUUGGUGAGGUAAAGGCUCACCAAGGCAGCGAUCAGUAGCUGGUCUGAGAGGAUGACCAGCCACACUGGGACUGAGACACGGCCCAGACUCCUACGGGAGGCAGCAGUGGGGAAUUUUCCGCAAUGGGCGACAGCCUGACGGAGCAAUACCGCGUGAGGGAAGAAGGCUCUUGGGUUGUAAACCUCUUUUCUUAGGGAAGAACAAAAUGACGGUACCGAAGGAAUCAGCAUCGGCUAACUCCGU
rnacentral:rRNA from 1 species